rnacentral:rRNA from 1 species
AUCGAACGCUGGCGGCAGGCCUAACACAUGCAAGUCGAACGAGUGGCGGACGGGUGAGUAAUGUCUGGGAAACUGCCUGAUGGAGGGGGAUAACUACGGGAAACGGUAGCUAAUACCGCAUACCCUCGGAUGUGCCCAGAUGGGAUUAGCUAGUCGGUGGGGUAAAGGCGCACCUAGGCGACGAUCCCUAGCUGGGCUGCGAGGAUGACCAGCCACACUGGAACUGAGACACGGUCCAGACUCCUACGGGAGGCAGCAGUGGGGAAUAUUGUACAAUGGGCGCAAGUCUGAUGCAGCCAUGCCGCGUGUAUGAAGAAGGCCUUCGGGUUGUAAAGUACUUUCAGCGGGGAGGCGUUACCCGCAGAAGAAGCACCGGCUAACUCCGUGCCAGCAGCGGCGGUAAUAC